rnacentral:rRNA from 1 species
GACGAACGCUGGCGGCGUGCUUAACACAUGCAAGUCGAACGGAAAGGCCCUGCUUUUGUGGGGUGCUCGAGUGGCGAACGGGUGAGUAACACGUGAGUAACCUGCCCUUGACUUUGGGAUAACUUCAGGAAACUGGGGCUAAUACCGGAUAGGAGCUCCUGCUGCAUGGGGGGGGUUGGAAAGUUUCGGCGGUUGGGGAUGGACGCGCGGCUUAUCAGCUUGUUGGUGGGGUAGUGGCUUACCAAGGCUUUGACGGGUAGCCGGCCUGAGAGGGUGACCGGCCCCAUUGGGCCUCAGGUACGGCCCAGACUCCUACGGGGGGCAGGAGUGGGGACUAUUGCAAGAUGGGCGGAGGCCUGAUGGAGCAACGCCGCGUGCGGGAUGACGGCCUUCGGGUUGUAAACCGAUUUCGCCUGUGACGAAGCGUGAGUGCCGGUACUGGGUAAAGAAGCACCGGCUACCUACGU